CUGACGUUAGCGGCGGACGGGUGAGUAACACGUGAGUAACCUGCCCACAACUUUGGGAUAACGCUAGGAAACUGGUGCUAAUACUGGAUAUGUGCUCCUGCUGCAUGGUGGGGGUUGGAAAGUUUCGGCGGUUGGGGAUGGACUCGCGGCUUAUCAGCUUGUUGGUGGGGUAGUGGCUUACCAAGGCUUUGACGGGUAGCCGGCCUGAGAGGGUGAACGGCCACAUUGGAACUGAGAAACGGUCCAA
rnacentral:rRNA from 1 species